GGAAAAGAAACUAACAAGGAUUCCCCUAGUAACGGCGAGUGAAGAGGGAAAAGCCCAAGAUUGAAAGCUGGCGUCUUCGGCGUCCGCAUUGUAAUCUCAAGAAGUGUUUUCCGCUUCGGACCAAGCCUAAGUUUCCUGGAAAGGAGCAUCGUAGAGGGUGAAAAUCCCGUACAUGGUUUGGAGCGCCCGGAGCUUUGUGAUACAUUUUCUAAGAGUCGAGUUGUUUGGGAAUGCAGCUCAAAAUGGGUGGUAAAUGCCAUCUAAGGCUAAAUAUUGGGGAGAGACCGAUAGCGAACAAGUACAGUGAUGGAAAGAUGAAAAGAACUUUGAAAAGAGAGUUAAACAGUACGUGAAAUUGCCAAAAGGGAAGGGUAGGAGGUCAGAGAUGGGGCCUGGGAUUCAGCCUUGCUUUUGCUCGGUGUAUUUCCCAAGUCGCAGGCCAACGUCGGUUUUGGACACUGGAGAAGGGUAAGAGGAAUGUGGCACUCUUCGGAGUGUGUUAUAGCCUCUUACUGGAUGCAGCGGCCGAGACCGAGGAACGCAGCGUACUCGUAAGAGCGGGCCUUCGGGCACCUUUACGCUUAGGGCGUUGGCAUAAUGGCCUUCUACCACCCGU
rnacentral:rRNA from 1 species